rnacentral:rRNA from 1 species
UGCAAGUCGAGCGGAUGAAGGGAGCUUGCUCCUGGAUUCAGCGGCGGACGGGUGAGCCUUGCCUAGGAAUCUGCCUGGUAGUGGGGGAUAACGUCCGGAAACGGGCGCUAAUACCGCAUACGUCCUGAGGGAGAAAGUGGGGGAUCUUCGGACCUCACGCUAUCAGAUGAGCCUAGGUCGGAUUAGCUAGUUGGUGGGGUAAAGGCCUACCAAGGCGACGAUCCGUAACUGGUCUGAGAGGAUGAUCAGUCACACUGGAACUGAGACACGGUCCAGACUCCUACGGGAGGCAGCAGUGGGGAAUAUUGGACAAUGGGCGAAAGCCUGAUCCAGCCAUGCCGCGUGUGUGAAGAAGGUCUUCGGAUUGUAAAGCACUUUAAGUUGGGAGGAAGGGCAGUAAGUUAAUACCUUGCUGUUUUGACGUUACCAACAGAAUAAGCACCGGCUAACUUCGUGCCAGCAGCCGCGGUAAUACGAAGGGUGCAAGCGUUAAUCGGAAUUACUGGGCGUAAAGCGCGCGUAGGUGGUUCAGCAAGUUGGAUGUGAAAUCCCCGGGCUCAACCUGGGAACUGCAUCCAAAACUACUGAGCUAGAGUACGGUAGAGGGUGGUGGAAUUUCCUGUGUAGCGGUGAAAUGCGUAGAUAUAGGAAGGAACACCAGUGGCGAA